GAGAAGUGGUGGAGCGCUUGGAAGUGAGAAUGCCGGUAUGAGUAGCGAAAAGAGGGGUGAGAAUCCCCUCCACCGUAAGCCUAAGGUUUCCUGAGGAAGGUUCGUCCGCUCAGGGUUAGUCGGGACCUAAGCUGAGGCCGAAAGGCGUAGGCGAUGGACAACAGGUUGAUAUUCCUGUACCACCUAUUUUCGUUUGUACGAUGGGGGGACGCAGGAGGGUAGGGAAUCGCGCGACUGGAAGUGCGCGUCCAAGCAGUGAGGCCGAAAGGAUAGGCAAAUCCGUCCUUUCUAUAGGCUAGGCUGUGAUGGCGAGGGAAAUCAUCAGUACCGAAGUUCCUGAUCUCACACUGCCAAGAAAAGCCUCUAGGAGAAAAUAGGUGCCCGUACCGCAAACCGACACAGGUAGGCGAGGAGAGAAUCCUAAGGUGCUCGGGAAAACUCUCGUUAAGGAACUCGGCAAAAUGACCCCGUAACUUCGGGAGAAGGGGUGCCCCGGUAGGGUGAAAGCCCGAGGGGGCCGCAGUGAAGAGGUCCAGGCGACUGUUUAGCAAAAACACAGGUCUCUGCUAAGCCGCAAGGCGAUGUAUAGGGGCUGACGCCUGCCCGGUGCUGGAAGGUUAAGGGGAAGGGUUAGCGCAAGCGAAGCUCUGAACCGAAGCCCCAGUAAACGGCGGCCGUAACUAUAACGGUCCUAAGGUAGCGAAAUUCCUUGUCGGGUAAGUUCCGACCCGCACGAAAGGCGUAACGAUCUGGACGCUGUCUCAACGAGAGACCCGGUGAAAUUGUACUGCCAGUGAAGAUGCUGGCUACCCGCGACAAGACGGAAAGACCCCGUGGAGCUUUACUGUAGCCUGAUAUUGAAUCUAGGUACGACUUGUACAGGAUAGGUGGGAGUCUGAGAAGCCGGAGCGCCAGCUUCGGUGGAGACGCCGGUGGGAUACCACUCUGGUCGUAUCGGGGUUCUAACUCGCCGCCGUCAUCCGGCGGGAGGACCGUGUCAGGUGGGCAGUUUGACUGGGGCGGUCGCCUCCUAAAAAGUAACGGAGGCGCUCUAAGGUUCCCUCAGCGCGGUCGGAAAUCGCGCUCCAGAGUGCAAAGGCAGAAGGGAGCUUGACUGCGAGACCUACAAGUCGAGCAGGGACGAAAGUCGGACUUAGUGAUCCGGUGGUUCCGAGUGGAAGGGCCAUCGCUCAACGGAUAAAAGCUACCCCGGGGAUAACAGGCUUAUCUCCCCCAAGAGUCCACAUCGACGGGGAGGUUUGGCACCUCGAUGUCGGCUCAUCGCAUCCUGGGGCUGUAGUAGGUCCCAAGGGUUGGGCUGUUCGCCCAUUAAAGCGGUACGCGAGCUGGGUUCAGAACGUCGUGAGACAGUUCGGUCCCUAUCUGUCGUGGGCGUAGGAAAUUUGAGAGGAGCUGUCCUUAGUACGAGAGGACCGGGAUGGACGCACCUCUGGUGUACCAGUUGUUCCGCCAGGAGCACCGCUGGGUAGCCAAGUGCGGACGGGAUAAGCGCUGAAAGCAUCUAAGCGCGAAGCCCCCCUCAAGAUGAGAUUUCCCAUUCCCCUGUGGAAGUAAGACCCCUUGUAGAUGACGAGGUUGAUCGGUCCG
rnacentral:rRNA from 1 species